CUCUUUACCUUCCUAGUCUUAUUUUAUCCUGUCUCUAACUCUUCUACCUCCCCUCAUACAAGAACCCACUGCACUAACUGUCUCUCUAUUUCCAACUGUCUGCCAACUGCUUUCCCAACUGCCUUUCCCAACUAACCAACUAAAACCAACCAACUACCCACAACCCAAACCUUGGGCUAAGCCCUUAUAUAAACAGGUAGGCUCCGCCUCUGGCUUUUCUAUUGGUCUACCUAUUAACUCUUUCUCUCCCUUGGUACAGACAUUUUCAAAGGAACGGGCAAACGCCACACCUUCCGGAGCAGCAGAAAACAAGCUUGCUUCAUCUUCAAGGCGACAGCCCAUCACAUAUCCGAAGGUGUCUAUCAUAUCACCUCUCAGUCUCCUUUUAUCCAAGCUAAACAUACCCAACUCCCUCAACCGUUCCUCAUAAGGCUUGGUUUCCAAACCCUGGGUAUUCUUGGUCGCUCUCCUCUGCUCUCGUUCCGGCUUGUCAACAUCCUUCUUAAAUUAUGGGGCCCAGAAUUGGACACAGUAUUCCAGGUGGGGUCUGACCAAGGCAGAAUAGAGUGUUAUAUCGCUAACAUAUAGUUAACUGUUGUUCUGCCCAAUAUACUAUGUAGAUGGCCAACAACCUAUACAGAAGAUAAACCUAUCAAAGCCACCACUUCCACAUCCAUGCCCCUACUGACAUGUUGGCUGGUUUCCAUGCCAGCUUUCUAUCCUUGGCUGCCUUUAUUGCCUGUUGGGAUGCACUGUGACAUCAUUCUAGUGACAUCUCAGUCAGACCAUGGAUACCACUAGCCCAAUAUUGUCUCCUCAGACUGAAAGCAGCUCUCUGAGGUCUUAGGCACAGACUCUUUCCCAGCUAUUCUGUUACGUGAGAUCACGCUCCUGAUUCUCAUGAACCAUCCCUGGCAAUUCCUGUGCAUGCAUACUCUGAAAUAAACCCCAGUGUGUUCAACUGGGUUUCCUCCCCAAGUGCAUUGGCAGCCAAAAUCUGGGGAGCAGGUCUGUGAUGCCUGCACUCCUAAAUCUCCAUAGAUGUGCAUUUGGACAUUGUUUCAGUAAACAACAACAACAAACAUGGCAGUGGACUUGUGUACAAAUGUAAGAAAAUCAGUGUUCUGGGGAGGGGGAAAGAAGUAAAAAUGACCAGGUAACUGUUUUGUCAGGCUGAUCGCCAAAGAAUUGAUGCUUUUGAAUUAUGGUGCUGGAGGAGACUCUUGAGAGUCCCAUGGACUGCAAGAACAUCAAACCUCUCCAUUCUUAAGGAAAUCAGCCCUGAGUGCUCACUGGAAGGACAGAUCCUGAAGCUGAGGCUCCAAGACUUUGGCCAUCUCAUGAGAAGAGAAGACUCCCUGGAAAAGACCCUGAUGUUGGGAAAGAUGGAGGGCACAAGGAGAAGGGGACGACAGAGGACGAGAUGGUUGGACAGUGUUCUUGAAGCUACCAGCAUGAGUUUGACCAAACUGCAGGAGGCAGUGGAAGACAGGAGUGCCUGGCGUGCUCUGGUCCAUGGGGUCACGAAGAGUCGGACACGACUAAACAACUAAACAACAACAACAUUCACAGCUGGUUUGAGGAUAAGGAGAAAAGGUUCUCAUAUUUUAAUUUGUCGUGUCCUUAAAAAUGACCCACAAGCUAGAUCAGUCUUGUGAGGGGGUCAUGUAUCCACCCCCCUGGGAUUAGAGUGCCAUAUGUUGUGCCUCUAUGGGAUAAGACUGUUGUCUUCUAACACUAGAUCAGUGAGAAAAUGCAAGAUAAUAACUGGUGCCAGGCCUUGUUCCGAAGAUGCUGUGAGCAGCCGUCUCUCGCUGAAUGGCGAUUAACAGAGAGGAAUCUUUGAAAAAGCAGUAUGUUGAUUUCUCUGGACACACUGCUUUGCUUCUUAGCUGCCUUGGAAGGAAGCCCAGGACUAAGAGCAGCAGAAAUUCACCAACUGUGAUCCAUGAUCCUUAAUGAACUAAGUUCAGCGCAGUAGCUGCCGCACCUUAGAAAGCAGCCAGCCUCUGUUUUGAGAAAUUGGUUUGCAGAGCUUUGGUGCCGCACACAUGGGUGCAAAGAUUAACCAGCCAACAUAUGGGACCUGAAUAGCCUAGCAAAGCAAAAUCUCUAGAGGGGGGUGCCCUCCUGGGUUCUCUUGUAUGUCUCCCCACUCCCCUCUGCAGAAAGGAGCAGCAACAAGAACAAGAACAAGAACAACAACAACAAUCUAGCUUAGCCUGAUGCUCCAAUGUUUCAGCACCUCGGAGAGUUGAUAGGGAAAGCUUACAAUCCAUGGUGAAAUCUGGAACUGAAAUUAGCAAAUGGAUGCAGUAAGUGAAUAAGCAUGUAAAUAAGCAGCAAAGUCGAAACUCAAGUCUGGAACAGAAAUUGAAAGCUUGUUAACAUAUGUAAACUCACUGAAACAGCAAGUGCUGUUCAGACUAGCUGUGCAGUUGACAUGGAUGCAGAAAUGUGUACCGGCUGGAUUUCCCCCUGCUCUGUUUCGUUUGCCCAUUCUGACCUUGCACAUUGACUUCUUAAUGCAAAUGAUAAUAAUGGCAAACAUGAAUCUCGAAAACAGGUUCACGGAUUAAUUUUGACAGUCGCUUGAAUUUGAUUGUUGCUAACUGACAAGCGGGUUGUGGAUUAUUGCUGAUUUUUUUAUUGUUUUCUUUUGCCAAUCUCAGGUAGGGGAAAAGUGAGGAUUCUCAAGCCACUAUUGAGCCAGGGUUACAUGGCUAGGUGGGCCAGUGUGUUCUGCAGGCCCUGUUGUAUGAAGGCAACGUACGAGCAAGACCCAAAUUGUCAUCUUUCCUGCAUUGCAGGGGGUUGCAGUAGAUGACUUUUUGGGUCCCAUCCAACCCUAAAAUUCUAUGAUUCUAAGACUGCAGACUGCAGGGACAUAUUCCAUUAACAUUUUUCAGUUCCCAAAGGAGAACCCAGGUGAGUGUGACAGAAAAGGGAAGCUCCCAGGUUGGAGGUUAACAGGUAAAGGCACAGAAGACAGAGCUAGGAGAGGCAAUUUCGAAUGAUGCACAUCACAGCCUAAGGUGAGGAGACCUACACAUCUAGAAAAAACCCUCUCUAAUCCCUCAAAUCUGAAAUAGCAGCACCCCUUGCCUGCCUCGUCCCUGCACCUCUGAAACACAGGACCCAGAUGUCCACCGGUCUCCCACAACCAGCAGCACCACUGUCUUUUGUCCAUCCUUUCCAAUUUGUGCAAAGAACAAAUGCAGUGCUGUUUUGCUUACGCUCCCAAAAUUAAUACAGUGUCAGACCUACUGGGGAUUUGCGAUUCACUGGCUUUAUUCCCCCCUCAACUCAGAUAUGGUAAUUUUUAUUGGACUUUGGAUAAAGUCAGCGGGCCUCAAAGCAAGAAGGAAUUCAUCCUUUGGCGCGUGGAUUUUCUUUUCGGAGAGAUUGCUGUGAGCAUUUUAUAGCAGGAGGCAGGGAAUGGAGAAGGGCUCCGAGUGUAGAUUAAUAGAUUCAGCCAGAACUGUUAUCAUAAUUGGGGCUGAAUCUCUCUUAUAACAAUGGGGGGACGGUUUUACCUAGCUGUAUAUGUGCAGAGGCAUAGAAUCCUGGAAUAAAAUGGUUUAGAAGGUGGUCAAAGGCUGCCAAGUCCUGCUCUCUUCCGAAAUGCAGAACCACACCUCUAUCAAACCCACGUUAAGGUUAUCACACACAAAAAAUAAUAAGCACCUGAAUGCUCAUUUCUCCUGCUCAUUUCUCCAAAGGAGAAUCAAAGUGGGAAUGCGGAGUUCACCAUGAGCGCCCCCAACCUCAGUCCAUCAUGCAGGUCCCCUCCUGAACAGCCUAGGAAAGGAGGCAUACCCUGUACAAUCUCUGCCUUCAAAGCUACUCAGC